rnacentral:rRNA from 1 species
GACGAACGCUGGCGGCGUGCUUAACACAUGCAAGUCGAACGGAAAGGCCCUGCUUUUGUGGGGUGCUCGAGUGGCGAACGGGUGAGUAACACGUGAGUAACCUGCCCUUGACUGUGGGAUAACUUCAGGAAACUGGGGAUAAUACAGGAUAGGAGCUCCUGCUGCAUGGUGGGGGUUGGAAAGCUUCGGCGGUUGGGGAUGGACUCGCGGCUUAUCAGCUUGUUGGUGGGGUAGUGGCUUACCAAGGCUUUGACGGGUAGCCGGCCUGAGAGGGUGACCACGGACAUUGGGACUAAGGUACGGCCCAGAGGCCUACGGGGGGCAGCGGUGGAGAAUAUUGCACAGUGGGCCGGCGCCUGAGGCAGCGGCGCCGCGUGCGGGAUGACGGCCUUCGGGUGGUAAACCGCUUUCGCCUGUGACGAAGCGUGAGUGACGGUAAUGGGUAAAGAAGCACCGGCUAACUACGUG